CAGAAUGAAUGCGCGUCCAUAAUUCAACGGGCUUGGCGUCGAAUAAAAUUGAAAAGACUUGAAUUUCAGAUUGAGGCCGUCAAAUUAAUUCAGAAAGCUUGGAGAAAGCAUCGAAGAACGAGGAGGAUCAAAGCAACCAAAUUAACACAGCAAGCUUGGAGAAACUACCAAACUGGACGAAGGGUAAAA